UCCCCUACUGAUGGCUUCAUCGCUUCAUCACUGCGGUAUUGGGCAUAGCCACCCAGACAACUGAGUAGGUGUUUACUACAACUGACAGGGUGAAGCAGCUGAGGGAAAGAAUGCUCUAGUUGCUGAGAUUUUUGGAUUGUGUCCUAGAAGAAGGAGUAACUUCAUUCUUUUGACUGUGACCAGCCUGACUGGACUGACUGAUGGCAGUGGGAAGACUCAUGGAAGAAGAGAGAGUCAGGAUCAGAACAUGCGGGGGUGUCACCGUUUGCAAGGACUUUGCCCAAGCCUCGAAUUGAAGUGUUGCAGAUAAGAACUUGGAUGCACUGACAGCUGUAUGUGACAGCUGGAACUGUGUCUGUCUGCAGUUCUUGACUCAGGCCAGUUGCAGUUUGUCCUUUGACUUUAUAUGCACCAAAUUCACCCACAACAGUUUUUAGAUAUGAAAGUAUUACAUGUGUUUAGUAGCCAAUUUGCAAACAUUAAACUUCCCAAUUUCUACUACAAAAAUGGUUUUAGAAAACACCAAUCAUCAUUAUGGACUGGUUUUGUAAAACAUAAACCAGCUAGUUUUCAGCUACCAAACAGCUCCCACACCACUACUGGCUUCCAACUUUAAAAAUGGCCAAACCAAUGUUCUUGAAAAUGUGCUGAGAUUAAUUUGUACUUACUUGGAAGUCUGAUGUAGAAUCAUAUGCAGUGUGACAGGCAGUUAAACCUCUGUGGGAUGGGAGAAAAUCCUGUGUUUUAAUGGAAUUGCCCAGAAGUAUCCUAUAGCUCUGUUCAGUUUUAAUGCAGCUUUGCGUUGCUUCCUCCUUCCUCAUUCUUCUGAACCCUAGUGCAGAGACUGCUUCCAGACAUUUACCCUCACACUUACUUAGUCUCAAGUGAAAUUAAGUCACAAGUGAACUUGUGAUGGUUCCACAUAUAUUUCUGGUGUUAUACCGAUCUUUCUAAUCCUGCGCUCACUUUGUAUCCCUUGCACCAUCUUCAGAAAAUUACUGUCCCCCAUUAUCUUUAUGCAUUUUCAGCCUUGAUGCUUUUCGCUAGUCUGUGGGAACCACAGUUCCUGCCAUAGCGAUGUUGCUCCAGACACACAAGCAGCCUGUUUUCCAUCCCCAUUCAGAUUCUGUCCACAUGCAUCCACCCUACACUUUUGCUUAUCUAAUGCACAUCCUUUGGGCAAAGUCUGAAAUGAGGGUAAGAACUCUGUGACUGGAAAGGUGCCAGCAUGCCUUCCAUGCUAUAGUAAUUUAUUACAGAUAUUAGAAAGAAUUUUUCCAUCAUAUAGUUAUAGAGCGAGGCAGUGUCUGUUUAGUACAGGUCACAUACUCUGGUCUAUCAGUUACGGAUGUUGCCAGGUAAAUACUUCUAUAUCAUGCACUUGUUAUUCCCAUUUUUCAUGCUGUGCCUUUUCACUAGUACUUCUAGUUCUGUUCUCAGGCCCUUGUGAAAUUAUACUCAAAGGAAAGCCACAAAUGGUGCCGUUGAACAUUGCUCCACAGCUGAAUGCUCACGUAGGUUUGCUUUUUCUUCUUGCUGCAGCAACUCUCCUUUAGAAAGCUGCCUGAUCUUGCUCUCCACUAAACAAAUGGAGGGCAUGUUUUUAAAAGAAAUUAGCAGAAAAUAAGAGUCAGUAUACUCAAUUGGCUUCCAGUUGCUCUGGCUCUGAUGGCUUUGAGACAAUGGCCGUGAGAAACUGGAGGGGCAGAGUUGGAAGCUGGAAGAUGAAUAAAGGGUGAAGAAGGAACAAUAUCGGGAAAAGCUGUUGGUUGUAGUCUUUUCCCUGAAUAAAUGUGUAGACACCAAAAAGGGUGUCAUUCCUGCCAA